AGCAGCAGCAGUGUUUGCCUGGACCUGUGCGUCGCCCCAGAAAACCAAAGACACCGUCUAAGUGGCCGACGGACAAGAUUGUCGUCACAGAGAUUCGUCCGGAUGGGAUGCCAACUGAGGUGAGAGCACAACGAAGAUUGCGGUUGCUUGCUCGUUUGAUUGCUAGGGAAAAACUAUCCUUAGUGAUGCCAUCAUUCAAAAACCUUACUGAUGAGAGGAAAUGGGAAUUGUUUGAUAGACAUGUCAUGCCUUACUUGGAGUUCCCAACUGCAAUGAAGACAGGGGGGUUUAAGUAUAUAAUGAAGGUGAUAUCUAAGAGCUGGAGAAGCCACAAAUGUAGGCUAGUAACUGGUUAUAUUGAGAAAAACCUUAGUCCCUUUGAGAAGCACCCAUACCUUGAACCUGAUGAUUGGGAUGAAUUUGUGGCAUUCAAGCAGUCCACAGAAGCAGCAGCAAUAAGUGAGAAAUACAAAAUUCUUCGCCAAAAGAAUGUGCACAACCAUUGUUUGGGCACAGCAGGGUAUGAGGGCAAAUUGAAACAGUGGGAGAUGGAGGAUGCAACUUUAGCCAGUAAAGGCAUCAGUAACCCAUGGCAAGAAUUCCCUGAAGGCCGCCACACGAGGUUUAUGCGAGGAAGGAGUAAGCUUGAUAUAUCAGAAAAUAAAGCUGAGAUCAUAUGGACACAAGAUGCAACAAAAAAAAUCUCUGAAGACAUCAAAGUGAAGCAUUCAGCUGCAGAAGCAUCGGGCAUCACUUGGGUCAGGGAGAAUGAUCUGCUAACUGCAUGUUUGGGCCCUGAACAGCCAGGUCGAGUACGCGCUGUUUCAAGUUAUACCAGCUGGAAGCAUGGUUGGCCUGAGUGCUCUGGCACGUACAGAAAGUGGAAGAGGCCUAGUGCAUUAGAUUUGGAACAACUCAGACGAGAAGUUACACAGGAUGUCAUCAAAACUCUUGCUGACCAAGGAUUGUUGGUAAGACCACCACCUUCUAGGACCCCUAGUCCUGCUUGCGGACGAAGGAGCAGUUGUGGCUCUGCCUCCGAUGCUGCUGAGUUGGGCCCUAAUUCAAUUGAUCCGGAUACUAUUGAUCUUCUCACAGAGCCAACACAAUGUUCUCUUCUGGCAGACCUUAGAGGCUUACGAGUUGUGGUUGCAGAGGGUCGAGUGUUUCCAAAGCAAGUUGAGCUACACACAGUCCCAAUACAGUAUGAUCAUGCAGUAGUCCAAGUGGAAUGUGUAUGUCAGGGGCAUGAGGAUCAUGUGUUGCAGCUUCCCCCCAAUGAUGAGACCGAAACACUUGGAGACGCUCUACUGCAGAGAAUACAAUGGAGGAGGGAUCGCAUUUAUGUCAAUCCUACCCAGCCAACCCAAUCUCAACAAAUUGAGAACAUAAAUAGUGCCAAGAGUGCUUCGAAGGGCAAUAGUGCUAUAAUCUCGACAAAGCAACUUUGUGGAGGCAAUUCAGCUCCUUCAAAACAGCAAUCUCCUGCCACAUCUGAUGCAGCAAAGCCACACAAGCAACACAAAGUGGCUAGUGAGGAUGCUGGAUGGAGUGCAAAGCCACCUAAGCAACACAAGGCGGCUAGUGAGGAUGCUAGAGGGAGUCUAAAACAACAACAACAGCAGCAAAAAGGGGCUUCUAAGUACAAGUGUGGGCAGGCAUUUCUCCAUUCACUGGACCUCAAGAAGGCAGGACCGGGAUGUAUCGCUCUUCAUUCUUAUUACAUGAAAGAUUGCAUCGAAAAUGUGAAGAGUGGGAUAUUGGUUCGGUUUAGAGGUACUUAUAUGCUAAACUCAACAGACUUUGAGGUCAGCCUUGUGAGAUAUAAUGUUCUUUAUGACCUUUUCAACUUCGGUGCUUUGGACUCCUCGCUUCUUCAAUGUUUGACAUUGUAAGUAACUGCUAUAGUCCUGUUGAUAGUACUAUUAUUUCUGCAUUUGCAAUGACUAAAGAUAGAAUAUAUGCUUGUGAUGCUAACAUGAUUUAGGGUCUGCUUUGCACUUAUCUUCAGCUGCAAGUACCUCUUAUUUCUUAUUUUCUCUACAUGUUCUUUCUUAUUUUUAGAUCACUGGUUCUGGAAGCUAAGACCAAGAACAUUCAUGUGGGCUUUCUUGAUCCACAACUGAUGUCACUAGAUAGCAUAAACUUUGAUAGAGACCGAGUUAUGCAGUAUGUUCAAAAGGCCUUCACUAGGUAUACCAAUAGAGACUUCAUAAUGUUUGCCUACAACAUUGGUGGCUUAGCUGGUGCUCAUUGGAUCGUGGUGAUAAUAAUUCAAAAGUGGAAUAAGGUCAUAUACCUUGAUUCCAACAGAUCUGCAAAACAUGAUUUCAGCAUGUUAAAAUCCUUGAUUGAUGAGUGAGUUCUUUCCUUACCUACUAUAUGACUUGUUUUAUAAAUGCCAAUGUCAUUGAACAAAAAUAAUGAGGCAUAUAUGUGUGUGCUGUACUGGAUUGCAUGUAGGGCUUAUGAAAAACACACAAGCAAGAUGAAAGACAGGCCGCAACCAUUGACACACGCUUCUAAAUAUCCGGUAAGUGUUUCCAAAUAUAAAAUUCAGUAUUGUGCCUCUAGUAUAUUUAGUAUUGUGUCCCACUUCCAUUUUCAAAUGAUUGUGUGUAUUCACCUCUAAUUAAUAUAUAUGUUGCAGUGCCAACAACAAACUUCUAGCAAGACAUCCGGCUUCUAUGCUGCACACAACUUGAUGUUAGCCAUGCAAAAGACAGACUUGGAAUGCCCUGAGGUAUUCUUCUAGAAUGAUCUCUGAAUAAAUUACUAGCCACAGUUUUCCCAGCUCUGCAAAUCUUCCAUCUGACAUCAUUACUUCACUGUUAAAAUGGUUAAAAGCAUACCUGAUCAUAAAAUCUAUUGGAUUCUAUAAAGCUUCGCUUUACAGCAUUUUAGUGUUCAUGUUUUUAGUGCCCUACUACUAGAUCAGAAGGUACUAGAUUAGAAUGGAAUUAUCAAUUGUUGAAUCUUUCAAAAAUGAAAUAGCUAGCAGCGGCAUUAGGAUGGUUUCAUUUCUACCUCUUCUAUCCAACACAAGAAAUAUAUAUAAGCCAACAGUGCAGAUUUUUACUAAUAUGAUUUGUACUGUGCGUUGUGCCAUGUUUUCAUUUUUACAAGAGUUAUAUCUUGACACAGGAAUUUGAAGUGCUGACGGCGCCUAUCGAUUUCAACGUAAUUAGAGAGAAGUUGAGCAAGUUCUUUAUGGAACAGAUCAUCAACAAGAGAGGGGAGUUCCAUAAUCCUAGUUAAGCUCCAGUGUGUGAGUGAAUAAGUUGUACAAUCUUGUGAUGGAUCUUGCUGUCGAUGAAUUUGACAUGAAUGUGAAUCUGUUGAACUUGAUAUCUAUGUAAUGAGUACCUUCUGAUCUGUUGAACUUGCAAGAACUUGAUAUAGAGUACUAUUAUUUGCUAUCUGUUGAACUUGCAAGAACUUGAUAUCUAUGCAAGAACUUGAUAUCUAUGUAAUGAGCUUGGCUCACCCUGAGACGACAUGAAUAUUUUGUAGUAUGAAUUGUAUCUAAAAACCUUGUAAAA
rnacentral:lncRNA from 1 species